rnacentral:rRNA from 1 species
AUUGAACGCUGGCGGCAGGCCUAACACAUGCAAGUCGAACGAGUGGCGGACGGGAGAGUAAUGUGUGGGAAACUGCCUGAUGGAGGGGGAUAACCACUGGAAAGGGUAGCUAAUACCGCAUACCAUCAGAUGAGCCACAGGUGAUUGGCUAGUUGGUGGGGGAACGGCUCACCAAGGUGACGAUGCCUAGCUGGUCGGACAGGAUGACCGGCCAAACUGGAACUGAGACACGGCCCAGACUCCUAGGGGAGUAAGCAGUGGGGAAUAUUGCACAAUGGCGGAAAGCGUGAUGCAGCGAUGCGGCGUGUAUGAAGACGGCCUUCGGGUUGUAAAGUACUUUCAGCGGGGAGGCGGUACCCGCAGAAGAAGCACCGGCUAACUCCGUGCCAGCAGCCGCGGUAAUUC